AGUGAACGCUGGCGGUAGGCCUAACACAUGCAAGUCGAACGGCAGCACAGUAAGAGCUUGCUCUUACGGGUGGCGAGUGGCGGACGGGUGAGGAAUACAUCGGAAUCUACUUUUUCGUGGGGGAUAACGUAGGGAAACUUACGCAAAUACCGCAUACGACCUACGGGUGAAAGCAGGGGAUCUUCGGACCUUGCGGGAUUGAAUGAGCCGAUGUCGGAUUAGUUAGUUGGCGGGGGAAAGGCCCCCCAAGGCGACGAUCCGUAGCUGGUCUGAGAGGAUGAUCAGCCACACUGGAACUGAGACACGGUCCAGACUCCUACGGGAGGCAGCAGUGGGGAAUAUUGGACAAUGGGCGCAAGCCUGAUCCAGCCAUACCGCGUGGGUGAAGAAGGCCUUCGGGUUGUAAAGCCCUUUUGUUGGGAAAGAAAAGCAGCAGGUUAAUACCCCGCUGUUCUGACGGUACCCAAAGAAUAAGCACCGGCUAACUUCGUG
rnacentral:rRNA from 1 species